rnacentral:rRNA from 1 species
UACGAAGGAUCCAAGCGUUAUCCGGAUUUAUUGGGUUUAAAGGGUGCGUAGGUGGCUUAUUAAGUCAGUGGUGAAAGCCCGGAGCUUAACUCCGGAACUGCCAUUGAUACUGAUGAGCUUGAAUAUAGUUGAGGUGGGCGGAAUGUGUCAUGUAGCGGUGAAAUGCUUAGAUAUGACACAGAACACCAAUUGCGAAGGCAGCUCGCUAAACUAUUAUUGACACUGAGGCACUAAAGCGUGGGGAUCAAACAGG